AUUUGGGUCCUAAAUACUUUAAAGAUACCAGUUCUCAUCUGAUCUUUGAAGCUAUGCAGGGCCAGUCCUGAUUAAUAAUUGGAUAGGAGACCACAAAUGAAUACUGGAUGCUUUAGGUU
rnacentral:rRNA from 1 species